AGGUUGGAGUUGUUGCUACUGUAUGUGCAUCUACAACAUUGCAAGUGUUUGUCAUCCCUAUUGACAACUGAACCUGCACUUUCCUGAAAUUUUAUAGAAUUUCUGCUGGCCCUUAGGUAUUCCAGUUUUCCUUUUCCAUGUUUUGUCAAUACCUUUGAAUUCAAACCUUUCAUCAUGAAAGUUGGGGUCAUUUCAAAGCAUGUCCAUCUAAGUCAUUAGUAAGAAAUGGGUAUGCAGUUUGCUCCAAGAAAAUCUACCAUGUAGGCAUUGAUGUUAUAUGCAGGUUGAUAGCAGAAGAUCACUAUCAAGGUUAGGUAGGCAAACGGUAUCACUUGUCUGAUGUCUGUGUGCUCUACUGCUAUUUAAAUUCUUACAGUAAGUAAAGAUCUUGUCUAUUAUAGGUCUCUCCAUUAAUGACUUCGAUGCUCUAUCAGAUUUUAACCUCAGAUAUUCUGAUAAAGCAUAUAGGCGAGAGUAGCAUCUUAUACUUUUAUGUGUUGUUAGAUGUUCUGAUUUGAAAAUCGCAUUGAGAUGUCUAAAUUUACUUCUCCAGUUGCUUGCGGAUCUUGCUCAUAUGAGAUGUACGAGUUUAUCUCUGGCUCUUGUUAGAUGGUAGCAAGCAGCAGGCAACUUGUUUUUUUUUGCUUGCAUUACAGUAAGCAGGUUGCUUUAGAUCACCACACUACAAAUGCUCCUUAUAGCAAUGUAUAGCUCAGGAUAGAAAUAAAAUGUGUUGCGCUAUUAUUUAUGGUCAAAAUAUCGAACAUUGCUUUCUAAGAGCAAGGUUCAUACAAGGCACACCUUCCCCAUCAAUCCCAGGUGCUCUGUUGCCUUCACCAUCUCAUCAUGAUCCUGCUCUUGACCAUGGGUGCCCUUGAGGUAAAUUUUCAUCCAUUAAAUUAUACUUAAGUGAUUCAAUGUCUAUAUUAGACAUGCAUUCAGCGUGUGUUUAGCAUGCACAUGUGUUAAAUUCUUAAUUUUAGAAAACGAAAAAUGUCGCCCUCUUUAGUGAGUAUAAAAUAACAUUUUGAGCCUCGUAGGAGGGUGCAGGCAGCGGUCGGAGGUGUAUACGUGGGACUGCUCAAGUGUGGCGCUGGGGAUCAGGAGGUACUGGUGCCAAGUCAGAGCAUGUAAAAUGCACUUAGUAGCUAGAAUAUGUAAUAUUAGGAGUAGAAUCUACAUAGAUAUAUGAACCAAAAAAAUUAGUUCCAAUGUAUAGACCUCUUACAAAAUUAUUUUUGAAUUGUGAAUUCACCUACUGCAACUAGAUUUGCACAAGAUUGGUUUGAUUUGCAUCACCACUUAUCUGUGUUUGUUUCUCUUAUUGAAUUAGGUUUGAUUUGCGCCAUUAUUAUUUUGUUCCUGUAGCAAUGCAUAUCUAGCAACACAUGGAAAUAAUCCCCCCUUGUCUUAAUUUGGAAUUAGCAAUGAACAACUCCCUAUUAAACUUUGUGUUGCUUCCGUUGCAAUGCAUGGCUAAUCACUUAUUUAUCUAAAUAUGACUCAGAAUAUUAUAUUGUUAAGCUCUAUUAAAAUCUAUUUGUCUGUUUAUUUUGAUCCACUAUUUUUUCAUAUUAUGUUGAAAAUUUUAAAGUUCCCGUAGCAAUUUUAUAUGUAUAUUCACGUGUGUAUCGCAUGCUAUCCUUAUAUGUAUAUGCAUGUGGCUGUUUCCUUCUAGAACUCGCCCAUCACCCAAAAAAUCUGCGAAGAAACUUUUCUUAGUUCUAAAUUUAUGUUUUAUGUACAUCGGGGAUCUAUGUCAGGUAGGUUUUGUCUUGCUGCUCACUGGUAGUUGCUAAUAUUUUUGUUACUUUGACUUGCAGGAAAGGAUGAUAUCUUAGUUGCGUACUGGUGGGUGAAGUUUCAUGUUGUGGGUGACUUCUGUUUGUGGCUUCAUGCAAUUGUAGGUUCAGUCCCUUGUUUGCUAUAUGUGUUACUUCUCCUUUUGUAUAUCUUUUAUUUUAUUCUAGGUAUUACAGCUGUUUUGUAUGGCUAG
rnacentral:lncRNA from 1 species